AGUUCUCAAUCACAUUGAUUUGCUUUGAUGUGGAUUGGAUAUGGGAUUUGCAGGCUCAAAAGGUCUGCUUUCCUGAAAUAAAUUAGUGGUGUCUGAGCAGAGACUUUACUACGAGGCGUGAUAACUAUCUAUGCCUUUGUAAAACACUGCACAAACUGCUUCAAAUCUUUCAUUUGUUGACCA
rnacentral:misc_RNA from 1 species